rnacentral:rRNA from 1 species
UACGUAGGGAGCAAGCGUUGUCCGGAAUCAUUGGGCGUAAAGCGCGCGUAGGCGGCCCGUAAGUCCGCUGUGAAAGCAAGGCUCAACCUUUGAAAGCCGGUGGAUACUGUCGGGCUAGAGUCCGGAAGAGGCGAGUGGAAUUCCUGGUGUAGCGGUGGAAUGCGCGGAUAUCAGGAGGAACACCGAUGGCGAAAGGCAGCUCGCUGGGACGGUACUGACGCUGAGGCGACGAAGCGUGGG